CACGUAGUUAGCCGGGGCUUUCUGGUGAAGUACCGUCAGUAUUUGAUCAUUCCCUAUCAAAUAUGUUCUUCCUUCACAACAGAGCUUUACGACCCAUAGGGCCUUCAUCGCUCACGCGGCAUUGCUCGUUCAGGGUUCCCCCCAUUGACGAAUAUUCCUAACUGCUGUCUCCCGUAGGAGUCUGGGCCGUGUCUCAGUCCCAGUGUGUCCGUUCAGCCUCUCAGCCCGGAUAUGCAUCGUUGCCUUGGUAGGCCAUUACCCUACCAACUAGCUAAUACAACGCAAGCCCAUCCAAAGGUGAAGCCGUAGCUCCUUUAAGCAUCUAGUUAUCUAAUUGCAUAUCAUCCGGUAUUAGCUAUCGUUUCCAAUAGUUAUCCCAGUCCCUUGGGUAGGUUACCCACGUGUUACUCACCCGUCUGCCACUAAGUGCGUAUUUCCUUUUUCCUCUUUGUACUAAGUACUCUGUAUUCUAAAGGUACACUUCGUUCGACUUGCUAUGUCUUAGGCUAUGCCCG
rnacentral:rRNA from 1 species